GAGGGAGCGGGGUCCCGAGGUAGAGGGACUGGGACCGGCUGAGGGUGAACUGGGGGACCCUGUGGUGGCGCCUGCUGAUGUGGUGGGGGCACCGGAAUGUGCUGUGGCGGCACCUGUUGGUACUGUGGCUGUGGUACCGGAUCGUACCGCGGCUGUGGUGCCGGGUGGUAUCGUGGAGGAACAGGCUCCUGCCGGGGUGGCUCGGGAUCAGCCUGCU
rnacentral:lncRNA from 1 species